GGUGAAGUGCCUGAUUAAAGGAUUAUUUUGAUGGAAUAAAUCAAAUAGGGGAAACCUAUCUCCACCU
rnacentral:tRNA from 1 species